UACGUAGGUGGCAAGCGAUACUCGGAAUCACUAGGCGUAAAGCGCAGGUAGGAGGUUGGAUAAGUCUGUUGUGAAAGCUCCCGGCUUAACUGGGAGAGGUCAACGGAAACUAUCCGGCUAGAGUGCGGUAGAGGUAGCUGGAAUUCCCGGUGUAGCGGUGAAAUGCGUAGAUAUCGGGAGGAAUACCUAUGGCGAAAGCAGGCUACUGGACCGUCACUGACUCUGAUCUGCGAAAGCUAGGGGAGCAAACCGG
rnacentral:rRNA from 1 species